rnacentral:rRNA from 1 species
CAAUAGCGUAUAUUAAAGUUGUUGCGGUAAAAAAGCUCGUAGUUGGAUUUCUACCGAAGAUAGCCGGUCGGGUCUUCGACCUUGUAUCUGGUUUUGUCUUUGGUAUCCUCAUAGGGAACGUUUCUGCGCUUUAUUGCGUGGUGCGGUAUCUAUGACUUUUACUUUGAGGAAAUUAGAGUGUUCACGGCAGGCAAACGCCUUGAAUAUAUUAGCAUGGAAUAAUAACAUAGGAUCUUCGUCCUAUUUUGUUGGUUUCUAGGGCUAAGAUAAUGAUUAAUAGGGAUAAUUGGGGCAUCUGUAUCAACGCGUCAGAGGUGGAAUUCUUGGAUUGCGUUGCGACAAACUACUGCGAAAGCAUUUGCCAAGGAUGUUUUCAUUGA